UACGGAGGAUGCAAGCGUUGUUCGGAAUCACUGGGCUUAAAGAGCGUGUAGGUGGGGUGUCAGGCGUCGGGUGAAAUCCCUCGGCUCAACCGAGGAACUGCCUGGCGAACCGGCAUUCUUGAGGCAGGUAGAGGUGGCUGGAACGACGGGUGGAGCGGUGAAAUGCGUAGAUAUCCGGUGGAACGCCGGCGGCGAAAGCGAGCCACUGGGCCUGCCCUGACACUGAGACGCGAAAGCGUGGGGAGCAAACAGG
rnacentral:rRNA from 1 species